GCGGGCAUCGUCAAGCGGUUAAGACCAUGGAUUGUGGUUCCAUUAUGCGUGGGUUCGAAUCCCACUGUCCGCCCCA
rnacentral:tRNA from 1 species